rnacentral:rRNA from 1 species
GUUAUAUGGUCAAGCGAUGAAGCGCAUACGGUGGAUGCCUAGGCAGCCAGAGGCGAUGAAAGACGUUGUAGCCUGCGAUAAGGCUCGGUGAGGUGGCAAACAACCUACGACCCGGGCAUUUCUGAAUGGGGAAACCCACCCAGCACAAGCUGGGUAUCCCACCCUGAAUUCAUAGGGGUUGGGAGGCGAACCGGGGGAACUGAAACAUCUAAGUACCCCGAGGAAAAGAAAUCAACCGAGAUUCCCUGAGUAGCGGCGAGCGAACGGGGACUAGCCCUUAAGUCAAUGCACGGUUAGGUGAACGGCCUGGAAAGGCCGGCCAUAGUGGGUGAUAGCCCCGUAACCGAAAACCCGCAUUGGUGAAAUCGAGUAGGUCGGGGCACGUGAAACCUUGACUGAAGACGGGGGGACCAUCCUCCAAGGCUAAAUACUCCUGGCUGACCGAUAGUGAACCAGUACCGUGAGGGAAAGGCGAAAAGAACCCCGGCGAGGGGAGUGAAAUAGAUCCUGAAACCGUAUGCGUACAAGCAGUGGGAGCUCGUUUCGGCUUGUGACCGCGUACCUUUUGUAUAAUGGGUCAGCGACUUAUAUUCAGUGGCGAGCUUAACCGACUAGGGGAGGCGUAGGGAAACCGAGUCUUAACAGGGCGAUGAGUCGCUGGAUAUAGACCCGAAACCGGGCGAUCUAUCCAUGGCCAGAGUGAAGGUCAGGUAACACUGACUGGAGGCUCGAACCCAAGUAUGUUGAAAAAUGCUGGGAUGAGCUGUGGAUCGGAGUGAAAGGCUAAUCAAGCCCGGAGAUAGCUGGUUCUCCUCGAAAGCUAUUUAGGUAGCGCCUCACGUAUCACCGUCGGGGGUAGAGCACUGUUUCGGCUAGGGGGCCAUCCCGGCUUACCAACCCGAGGCAAACUCCGAAUACCGAUGAGUGCAGCGUGGGAGACACACAGCGGGUGCUAACGUCCGUUGUGAAAAGGGAAACAACCCAGACCGUCAGCUAAGGCCCCCAAAUUCUGGUUAAGUGGGAAACGAUGUGGGAAGGCUUAGACAGCUAGGAGGUUGGCU